GCCGGGCGUGGUGGCGGGUGCCUGUAGUCCCAGCUACUCGGGAGGCUGAGGCAGGAGAAUCGCUUGAACCUGGGAGGCGGAGCUUGCAGUGAGCCGAGAUCACGCCACUGCACUCCAGCCUGGGUGACAGAGCGAGACUCUGUCUCAA
rnacentral:SRP_RNA from 1 species